UGUGAGGACACCGACACAGGGCACUGGCUGGCUUCGGCACACACCACUAAUGCCUUAAAGCAAAAUAUAAACGACUGGCAACAUUAAUUUAUUCUUCGAGGCAAAGUCAGAUUUUUGCAACGUAUAUAAUAACUUUUUCAUUUAGGUCCUUCGAGGCAAAGUCAGAUUUUUGCAACGUAUAUAAUAACUUUUUCAUUUAGAUCCCUCAACAAGAGCUAUUGGUCAAAGGAAAAGAGUUUACAUUCCUAUCCUAUACUGCCAGGCCAAACAGUUAUCACAUUAACCAUUGCUAGAACUAAACUCUAAACUAGACAAAACUUAAACAAACAACAAAUAUAAGUUUUCUCCAAUCUUUCAACUAGACCUAUAAGAAAAGAGCUUACGUUCCUACCAUUCACUGCCCUGGAGACCAAACAAUUACCACAUUAACCAUCGCCAGAACUAAACUAAACCCUAAACAGACUAAACCAAACUAAAUCAAACAACUAAUAUAUUGGUUAAAAGAAAAAGCUUGCAUUCCUACCAUUCACUGCCUGGAGACCAAACAAUUACCACAUUAACCAUCGCCAGAACUCAGCUAAACCCUAAACAGACUAAAUCAAAUUAAACCAAACAACUUAUAUAUAUUGGCUAAAGAAAAAAGCUUACGUUCCUAUCAUUCACUACCUGGAGACCAAACAAUUGCCACAUUAACCAUUGCGAGAACUAAACUAAACCCUAAACAGAGUAAACCAAACUAAACCAAUCAACUAAUAUAUUGGUUACAGGAAAAAGCUUACAUUCCUACCAUUCACUGCCUGGAGACCAAACAAUGGCCACAUUAACUAACACUAGAACUAAACCAAAGCUACACUGAACUAGGGCAGCCCAGUUAGGAGGCGUGCCAGCCCCAAGGUGCCGCAGCAAGCCAGUGCCCCGUGUGUGAGUGUCAGGACCCGAGGCCGUCACGCGCUCCGAGAACCAAACUGCUCAACACGUAAGUUUAGAGGUGGAGGUGAGCCCCAGCCAGGUGACCCAGGGGGGGACGCACUGCCCCCCCUCCCCCCCACCCACUCUGUACACUCCUGACCAGCUAUACAUGCCCAUGGAUUAUGUAUAUGACCCCACAGGACUUGGAUGAAUCAAUGAAUAAUCAUGUAUAAGACACAGUAAUGUUUUUUAUAUACCUGGGACAUCAUUUUCCAGUUUUUACCUCACAGUGCGAUGUAUAAACAGGUUGUGUGCAUACGGUUUGUGUUCCCUGUUGAUAUCUUGGACAUGUUUUAAUACUGUUGUGACAAUCAGUUGGCCACACGCAGAGGUUGUGGGUGUUAGAGACGUCACAAUGAGCUCCUCUAAUAUUUUGAAAUAGUGUAUCAUUUUUACAACACCUAUUGCUCUGCCACUUUGGAUAUUGUAAGCUUCAAUUGCCCAUCAAUUUUUAACCUAACUGAAUUUAUAAAUAUGAAGGAAUCAUACUCCGAAUUACUGGUCUAUUCAAUAUGAAACUUUACCCAUGCGAUUUACCAUGUAUAUUAAACAGUACGAGUCGCUAC